rnacentral:rRNA from 1 species
UACGUAGGGUGCAAGCGUUGUCCGGAUUCACUGGGUUUAAAGGGUACGUAGGCGGUUUGUUAAGUCAGUGGUGAAAGUUUGUGGCUCAACCAUAAAAUUGCCAUUGAUACUGACAGACUUGAGUAUCGGAGAGGGAAGUGGAAUUUGUAGUGUAGCGGUGAAAUGCAUAGAUACUACGAGGAACACCAAUUGUGAAGACAACUUCCUGGCCGAUAACUGACGCUGAGGUACGAAAGUGUGGGGAGCGAACAGG